rnacentral:rRNA from 1 species
GAUGAACGCUGGCGGCGUGCUUAACACAUGCAAGUCGAGCGAAAAUAAUUGAGAGCUUGCUUUUGGUUAUUUUAGCGGCGGACGGGUGAGUAACGUGUGGGCAACCUGCCUUUUACUGGGGAAUAAUCGUUGGAAACGACGACUAAUACCGCAUACGGUUCUUAGAAGGCAUCUUCUGAGAAAGAAAGGAGUAAUUCGGUAAAAGAUGGGCCCGCAUCUGAUUAGCUAGUUGGUGAGAUAACAGCCCACCAAGGCGACGAUCAGUAGCCGACCUGAGAGGGUGGCCGGCCACAUUGGGACUGAGACACGGCCCAA